CAGUCGCCGCGGGAAAACAGAGGGUGCAAGCGUUAAUCGGAAUUACUGGGCGUAAAGCGCGCGUAGGUGGUUUGUUAAGUUGGAUGUGAAAUCCCCGGGCUCAACCUGGGAACUGCAUCCAAAACUGGCAAGCUAGAGUAUGGUAGAGGGUGGUGGAAUUUCCUGUGUAGCGGUGAAAUGCGUAGAUAUAGGAAGGAACACCAGUGGCGAAGGCGACCACCUGGACUGAUACUGACACUGAGGUGCGAAAGCGUGGGGAGCAAACAGGAUUAGAUACCCCGGUAGUCCCUGUCUCUUAUAC
rnacentral:rRNA from 1 species